CCCUUAUAAACGGCACCGGUUGCAAAGCGCAGGCCAGGACAAUCCCAGGCACCAUCGUUGCUACACCAGCGCUUGUCUCACUAACACAGCUAGACCAUCACCACUGCCACUCCAGAGCCUGUCGCAUUAACCCAGCCAGACCAUCACCACUGCCACACCAGCGCCUGUCGCACCAAGCCAGUCAAACCAACACUCUUGAAGCACAGAAGCACCACAACUCAACGAUGAACUUCAAAACCGUGCUGAUCGUGGUGCUGGUGGUGAUGGGGACAGUGAUGGGAAGAGCGUUUCCCCGUCUAAGACAAUUUCCCGGCCAGAGACUGAGAGGGGCCACACACUACCCCUUCUAUUCCUUUGGCCGUCACGGUUACGAGAGCAAUUUUUUCGGCAGAUAUCACAAUCAUGGGCACUUCUUAAUGUUUUAGAAGAAGCACCCCUACCAACCAUCUUUCCCAAACAAUGGUCGUUUUGCCUGAGUGUUCCUCCUGCUCCUUACUCGCGGAGAUUAUUCCAGCCAUGUGUACUGUGGCCUAAGCAUUGGGAGGUGUGGCUGAUAAUAUGUACAGCACUCUUAAGUCAACUUAAGUUAUAAUGUUGGCCUCGUAGUCCUGCUACAGAGACGAGUGGCUAGGACUCCCAGUCUGUGUUUACACACACACACACACACACACACACACACACACACACACACACACACACACACACACACACACACACACACACACACACACACACACACACACACAUAUAUAUGUAUAUAUGUAUAUAUAUAUAUAUAUAUAUAUAUAUAUAUAUAUAUAUAUAUAUAUAUAUAUAUAUAUAUAUAUAUAUAUAUAUAUAUAUAUAUAUAUUUACUUAUUUAUAUUUUUCCCCCGAGUCAUUGGUUCCCAUUGUUUACUGACUAGAACUACUGUACAUACGCCUCUUUCUUCCUGACUGUUGCGACAUACCGAAGUGUAUAGAUUGUCUUCAUGGAAAGAUGCAAUGCGUCUGUGUUAUCGUGUUUAUACGGAUAGGGAAGCCCUAUCAUGUACACUCACAUAUGCCAAGUAUUUACAGUUUCAUUAAAUGAGACGCUUCACUAUUUUAAGUUAAAAUAUGUCCGGUGUGAUCAGAAAAGGACUUGUGAUGUCCUUUAUAAAAUAUUGUCCCUUUAUCUAUUUAUUAGUGCAAUGAAAGUUUUGUAAUAUAUCUAACUUAUCUUAUGGUUUUGUACUACAUUAAAUAUUAUGAACAUGCCCUUGAGCUGCAUGACUGUCCUGUGGCGGCGACGCUCCUGUGGUCGUGUUCCUCCAGGCUUACCACACAAACGUAUGUAUAUUAAAAUACACGUAGAGCCAAAAGUUACACAUGCGCCAGCGUAGUAAUGCACUGACGUAUUAAUGAUCUGCACUUGACUAAAAAUUGCAAGGUUUUGAGUUGGAAACCCCAGCCAGGGUUCAGAGAAAGAUUAUUAUCUUGCUCUGGUUCAUGUCCCCAGCCAGGCACAGACAGCCCAGGUGCAUCUCCCUCCACGACACACAAAGCCCCUCCGCACUUGGCAAUAGUUCAAGAUAACUCACUCCUUCAGUGAGAGGGGGUUACGUCGUCAGGCCCUUCACUAGUAAGUGUCUGUAUUUUCGAUGCAUUUAAAUGCGUCAGUGCUGACAAGACUUAUUCAUGAAGGAAAAAAAAAUGACAAAAUCGACAAAACUGACCGUCUUCUUCAUUCCGUUGAUAGGAUCCUGAGAUCCGUGGCAGCUUGUCACUCACAAGUAUCGCUUGUCUUCCAGGACUUCACAGAUAGGACCAUAAUUAAGCACGUGCUCCACAGGUCCUGCAAGGCUUCGUCACGCUCAGUGCAGCGUAUCUUCCUUCAUGUGGACAUAAGAAUACAUGAACAUAAGGACAUGUAGAAAUAAGGAGACUGCAAGAGGCCAGAUAAUAAACACAAUGCAGAUACUAAGCACUUAAACUUAACAUCUGCCAUCUUUCUUCUUAUAUUCACCCAACUUCUUACAACUACAUAAUGCCUGGGCAUCUACUGCGUUCUUACUCAUCCCCAACCUGCAUAUUAACAAAUUUUACACAUCUGAAUUUGUUUAGUUUCGUACGAGUUCUGACUUGUUCCCCUCCCAAAAAACCUGAUUUAAAUCUCUUUUGUUCAGCCUUUUAGCCCAUUCAAACCCUUCAAUCCUAUCACCACGCAGUCUGUUCCUUUCCAGAGACAGCAGCUUAAUUCAGGUAUCUUAACGUAUUCCGUAAGACAUGUACUCUCUACACCAGCUUCUUUCAGCCUGGUGUGCGGGAGACCACAGCUGGCAUUGAUGCGUGUAUGGACAUUCUAGAUGGCGGCGGGAGAAGCACUCUUCAGAUGAUGGGCAAAACACCAUGACAGUUAAGCCUCUUUUCCAAGACGGCUGAUUGAUACAUUACUAGUAAUAGCGUUGAUGUGUUGUGGACAGACGGAAAAUACCAAUCAACUAGCAUUCCCUUUCAAACAGUUUAUGCCUGCAUAUCAACUGUACACAUCACAAACAGGUGAACAAGGUGUUGCCCACCUUAAGUCUGGCUAUGACAGAUAUUGAACUGUCCUUAAUUCAGUAGGAACCGGAGACGCUGACCUCGGCAAAAAUUAAGGAAAGGUGCAGCUAUGUAGUCUACUCGUCAUCCAUUCUGUCAACAGUGUGCUUCUUCCAAUGCCUGCUUUGUUAGGAAAAGUUUUGCUAUAUAAUGACAAGGAUAUGACCAGUGAAGGACUUAAGAUGUAUGCAUUCGUCGUUGAAAGAUAAAUUGCUGAUUACCUCUCUCUCUCUCUCUCUCUCUCUCUCUCUCUCUCUCUCUCUCUCUCUCUCUCUCUCUCUCUCUCUCUCUCUCUCUCUCUCUCUCUCUCUCUCUCUCCCUCUCUAUCUCUCUCUGUGUGUGUGUGUGUGUGUGUGUGUGUGCUCCCGAGCACGUACACGUACGUACAUGGUACAUUUGUGUGCGUGUUUGUGCACACACGUGGCUAAGCAAAUCAGGUCGCGAGGUGAGAGACAAGUACUUAUCGUAGGUGAAAGGAUAGUGAAGUCUCUACGUAAGUGGGAAAUUCUUGUAAUCGGAUGAUGAGCAUAAUGGGAAAGAAGUGCUAGGAUGACGAAACUAAGGAUUAACUGGUAGAGUGGCGCCCGAACAUUACGAGGAACCUGACGGGAUUGUAGUAAUACAAGAGACACCAAGAAGAUAUGAAACACGAAAAAAAAGAAGGAAGAAUACUAGACAAGAAUGAAGAGGGAAGAAAUGAAGAAGGAAGUCAGAAUGCAGAGUAAAUAAAUGAAAGAGGAAGAAUAUAAGCAUAAAAGUUCGUACCAAGAAAACAAAAGCCUCUCAGUACUCCAAUAGAUGAGAGACACGCGAAGGCAACGCACUGUUACGUGUGGCAAUGAAGGAGCAAUGUGGAAGUUCCACGUAAUGUGUGUUGAGCAGCGUAACGAAGAUUAUUAAGAGAGGAUUUCUCUCUCUCUCUCUCUCUCUCUCUCUCUCUCUCUCUCUCUCUCUCUCUCUCUCUCUCUCUCUCUCUCUCUCUCUCUCUCUACUUGAUUUAUAUAUCUGUUUAUCUAUCAGUCAAUCUAUCUAUCUAUCUAUCUAUCUAUCUAUCUAUCUAUCUACCUACCUAUCUAUCUAUCUAUCUAUCUAUCUAUCUAUCUAUCUAUCUAUCUAUCUAUCUAUCUUUCUAUAUAUAUAUAUAUAUAUAUAUAUAUAUAUAUAUAUAUAUAUAUAUAUAUAUAUAUAUAUAUAUAUAUAUAUAUAUAUAUAUAUAUAUAUAUAUAUAUAUCCAUCUUUCUUUUAGUUGGAAUAUUCAUUUGAUUUCCCCCUUCGUCAUUUUACAUAGGUUAGGCAAGAGAAUGAGAUCUUGUAUCCAUAUCUGAGAGUACCACACACACACACACACACACACACACACACACACACAGAGGGAAAAUUAUAGAAGUGUUUACUCUGGAAUCGCUUCACUCCGGAUUCGAAUCACUGACCUAAUGGAGAACUUUAUCACGUCUGAGGAAAGCUGCGCCUCAGACAGUGGUUUGGACAGCGUCAACGAUCAUUGCUUCUUAAUUCACCCACUCCUUUGUUAUCAUUGCGAUACCUGUAAAAAAUGGUUCCAUCGUCACAGAAAGAAAAAAAAAGUGCAGUAGAGGAAUCAUUUAUGUCCUUUCUAGGCCACUGAACUCUUUGAGACUGUCCUUCCUAGGCCACUGAAUUAUUUGAGAGACUCUAGCACAUAAGCAAGCAUCUAAAAAGUCAUAGGUGAGGACAGGUUUGUUGAGCAGUGAAAUGGUUCAUUACAAGCAGCAUCCCUCGCCACAACCUGAUGAUUUAACAUACUAUAACGACGCAAACACUGCUUAAAAGUAUACACAUUCUUCAGGUACAUUACUGUUGCAUAGUUAUGAGGUGCUCUGACGCACAUUCCCUGCCUAAUAUUCCGCGCCUUUAGCUGGCCUGCACGUACACUCAAGCACCACCACCCUUAUAAACGGCACCAGUGGCAGAGCGCAGGCCAGCACAAUCCCAGGCACCAUCGUUGCUACACCAGCGCUUGUCUCACUAACCCAGCUAGACCAUCACCACUGCCACACGAGCGCCUGUCGCACCAACUUAGGCUGAUCACCACUGCCACACCAGCGCCUGUCGCACCAAGCCAGUCAAACCAACACUCUUGAAGCACAGAAGCACCACAACUCAACGAUGAACUUCAAAAUCGUGCUGAUCGUGGUGCUGGUGGUGAUGGGGGCAAUGAUGGGAAGAGCGUUUCCCCGUCAAAGACAAUUUCCGGGCCAGAGACUGAGAGGGGCCACCAACUACGGCACCCACUCCUUUGGCCGCAACGGUUUCGACAGCAAACCUGUCUCCAGAUUUCACGAUAAUGAGCACUCCUUACAAAUUUAAAAGAAGCAUCCCUUCCACACAUCUUUCCCAAACAAUGGUCGUUUUGCCUGAAUGUUCCUCCUGCUCCUUACUCGCGGGGAUUGGUCCAGCCAUGUGUACUGUGGCCUAGGCAUUGGGAGGUGUGGCUGAUAAUAUGCACAGCACUCUUAAGUCAACCAUAUAUGUUAUGAAUGGUGCACUUGGCCUCGCAGUCCAGCUACACACAGGAGUGUCUAGGACUCUUACACUGUUUAUAUAUAUAUAUAUAUAUAUAUAUAUAUAUAUAUAUAUAUAUAUAUAUAUAUAUAUAUAUAUAUAUAUAUAUAUAUAUAUAUAUAUAUAUAUAUAUAUAUAUAUAUUUAUUUAUUUAUUUAUUUAUUUAUUUAUUUAUUUAUUUAUUUAUUUAUUUUUUAUUUAUUUUUUUUUUUUUUUUCCCCGAGUCAUUGGUUCCCAUUGUUUACUGACUAGAACUACUGUACAUACGCCUCUUUCUUCCUGACUGUUGCGACAUACCGAGGUGUAUUGAUUGUCUUCAUGGAAAGAUGCAAUGCGUCUGUGUUAUCGUGUUUAUACGGAUAGGGAAGCCCUGUCAUGUACACUCACACAUGCCAAGUAUUUAUAGUUUCAUUAAAUGAGACGCUUCACUAUUUUAAGUUAAAAUAUGUCCGGUGUGAUCAGAAAAGGACUUGUGAUGUCCUUUAUAAAAUAUUGUCCCUUUAUCUAUUUAUUAGUGCAAUGAAAGUCUUGUAAUAUAUCUAACUUAUCUUAUAGUUUUGUACUACAUUAAAUAUUAUGAACAUGC